rnacentral:tRNA from 1 species
GCCCUCGUAGCUCAAUGGAUAGAGCAUCGGCCUUCUAAUCCGACGGGUACUGGUUCGAGUCCAGUCGGGGGCA